AGCUGCGUGGUGGCGGGAGCGAAGAGCUGCGGCAGAUGACGGCACAAAUCUCGAGGCGUUUUCUGGCUAUUGGGUUAGACAAAACGGACGGCCGAGAACGCUUUAAGGAACCCUAAGGUCACGGCCAACCUCGGCAAGGUCAUCCAUGGGGCAAAUGUUGGGAAUGGUUGUAACAAGACAAUUGGAAAUCUUCUAUACACGGGUUGCUACGAAGUUUCCUGCUAAUGCACUUAACCAUCGGCCAUUUCUUCUCGAAUACAUUGUAUCUUCAAAGGUAUUAUAGUGCAUAAUGGCUCACCGGAGCACCAAACUGAAUUGCACCACACAAGAAUCUUGAAAUCUCCAAUGAAAGAUCUAAGUGUUUGAGAAGUGCUCAUACUUUAUGAAAAUUCAUAGAAACACAUCAGGGGAACUUCGAGGUGAUCAGACAAGCUUUGGAGGUUUUCUUUUCAAGUUCCAUUAGAGCAUCAUGCACAUGGACACUAGGCGAUAGCCAUGUGUUUGUGUUUUUCUAUUUAUUUUAGACAAAUAAUGCGUUGGAGAUUGGAUGGAAUCGAGCAUUCACGAUCAUAUCCGUUGGAGGUUGGCGGAAUAGUGGAAUGAAGCCUAGGGUUUCCCUAUGAAAAAGAAACCUUAUUUACGAGAUCAAUUUGAGCAGCUCUUCUCGUAAUUUUUUCUGAGAUGAAUUUCUUCAGUGGUGGCGGCGGCACUUCUCAAGGAUUUUGAGAAGGGUUUUUUGAGAAGAGAAAUUGAGCUGUGAUUUUAGAUUAAAAUCACAAGUGGUAUUUUUUGAGAGAUCUCAAGUUUGAGAUCUUCUCUAUUUCAAGCUUUGUAAUUUCUUGUAGUUAAAUAAGAAAUUAUUUGUGCGGCUCCCGUGGACGUAGGCAAGUUUGCCGAACCACGUAAAUCUGUUGUCUCGUCUCAUUUACUUACUGUUUUAUCUGGGUAUUCGUUAUUGCUUGUAUUGGUUGGUUUGAGUCCGACUUAAACUCAAGCUUGGGUUGUUUUCUCAAGGGAUUAAUUAGCUUCCACGGCUAUGUGGGCGUCUCGCGCCUACCAACAUCAUUGCAUUGCGGAUUCUCUUGAAAAUGUUACUCAUUCGCUAUGCACUCUCGAGUUUGAGAUUCAUCGUGCUUCAUAUUACUGGCUACUGGAUGCACCAGGACUUCACAAGCCUUAUGUCUGGGAAUAUUCAAGGUUAAAUAUUUUAAACACAGUGAUGUCUAAGUGUAAGGUGAGGUUGCAUCGGUCCUUGAGGCAGUAAAGUCUUAGCUGUUAAUGCUCGUUUUACCAUUAUUUGUCUUAUGUGGUUAUGUUUUGGCCCUUCAGUUAGUCACAGAUAACUGGGUAGAUGGCUGGGAUGACCCACGCCUAAUAACACUAGCUGGUCUUCAUCUUCUAUUAAUGCUUUCAUUCGAGGA